GCUCCUAUAGUCUAGUGGUUAGGACGUCGGAUUCUGAUUCCGAAAACAUUGGUUCGAUUCCAGUUAGGAGCU
rnacentral:tRNA from 1 species